ACGAACGCUGGCGGCAUGCCUCACCCAUGCAAGUCGAACGAGACCUUCGGGUCUAGUGGCGCACGGGUGCGUAACGCGUGGGAACCUGCCCUUAGGUUCGGAAUAACUCCCCGAAAGGGGUGCUAAUACCGGAUAAUGUUUUCGGACCAAAGAUUUAUCGCCUUUGGAUGGGCCCGCGUUGGAUUAGCUAGUUGGUAGGGUAAAAGCCUACCAAGGCGACGAUCCAUAGCUGGUCUGAGAGGAUGAUCAGCCACACUGGGACUGAGACACGGCCCAGACUCCUACGGGAGGCAGCAGUGGGGAAUAUUGGACAAUGGGCGAAAGCCUGAUCCAGCAAUGCCGCGUGAGUGAUGAAGGCCUUAGGGUUGUAAAGCUCUUUUACCCGGGAUGAUAAUGACAGUACCGGGAGAAUAAGCUCCGGCUAACUCCGUG
rnacentral:rRNA from 1 species